GCAGUCGUGGCCGAGUGAUUAAGGCGAUGGACUAGAAAUCCAUUGGGGUCUCCCCGCACAGGUUCGAAUCCUGUCGACUGCG
rnacentral:tRNA from 1 species